rnacentral:rRNA from 1 species
GUUUGAUCCUGGCUCAGGAUGAACGCUGGCGGCGUGCUUAACACAUGCAAGUCGAACGAUGAUCUCCAGCUUGCUGGGGGGAUUAGUGGCGAACGGGUGAGUAACACGUGAGUAACCUGCCCUUGACUCUGGGAUAAGCCUGGGAAACUGGGUCUAAUACCGGAUAUGACCAUCUGGCGCAUGUCAUGGUGGUGGAAAGCUUUUUUGUGGUUUUGGAUGGACUCGCGGCCUAUCAGCUUGUUGGUGGGGUAAUGGCCUACCAAGGCGACGACGGGUAGCCGGCCUGAGAGGGUGACCGGCCACACUGGGACUGAGACACGGCCCAGACUCCUACGGGAGGCAGCAGUGGGGAAUAUUGCACAAUGGGCGCAAGCCUGAUGCAGCGACGCCGCGUGAGGGAUGACGGCCUUCGGGUUGUAAACCUCUUUCAGUAGGGAAGAAGCGUAAGUGACGGUACCUGCAGAAGAAGCGCCGGCUAACUACGUGCCAGCAGCCGCGGUAAUACGUAGGGCGCAAGCGUUAUCCGGAAUUAUUGGGCGUAAAGAGCUCGUAGGCGGUUUGUCGCGUCUGCUGUGAAAGACCGGGGCUCAACUCCGGUUCUGCAGUGGGUACGGGCAGACUAGAGUGCAGUAGGGGAGACUGGAAUUCCUGGUGUAGCGGUGAAAUGCGCAGAUAUCAGGAGGAACACCGAUGGCGAAGGCAGGUC